rnacentral:rRNA from 1 species
UACAGAGGUCUCAAGCGUUGUUCGGAUUCAUUGGGCGUAAAGGGCGCGUAGGCGGCGGGGUAAGUCUGGUGUGAAAUCUCGGAGCUCAACUCCGAAAUUGCACUGGAUACUGCUCUGCUUGGGGGUUGGAGAGGAGAUCGGAAUUCACGGUGUAGCAGUGAAAUGCGUAGAUAUCGUGAGGAAGACCAGUGGCGAAGGCGGAUCUCUGGACAAAUCCUGACGCUGAGGCGCGAAGGCUAGGGGAGCAAACGGG